GGAUUUGAGGGCGAUAUGGCUGUAACAUCUGUCACCCCAUUGAUUGCCAGGGUUGAUUCGGCUGAUCUGGCUGGCUAGGCAGGUGUCUCCUUUCUCCCAUAAUGCUCCAAGUGCAUUCCUCCAAAAGCUAGGCACACUUGGACAAAGAGGAUUGCCUUCAGUCCGAACAGAGACAGACCUGUCUGUUGGUCUG
rnacentral:snRNA from 1 species